rnacentral:misc_RNA from 1 species
CUUGGACAGUGAUGGGCAGCUGGACAUCAACAAAGACUCGUACUUUCCGUUUGGUCUUGGAAAAAGGCGAUGUCCAGGUGAAGGAUUUGCUAAGAAGGUGAUGUUUCUUUUUAUUACCGUCAUAUACUAACGUUACGGAUUUGAAGCAGCGGAUGGCGAAACGCUUCCUGACGUCGCUGAUGGCGUGAUUUACGCCGGAGUUCACAAUUCACCUCCAUACAAACUCACAAUAGUGCCACGAUAAAAAAAAAAAUCGAAUUCAUCUAAGCUGACUAUGUUGGCUAUCAUCAAUAAAUAUAAUUAUAAGUGGAGAAGGACAGAUUUUAUUGUUGUUGAGGUAUAGUUAGGCCUACAUAGCAGCUUAGCUCAGUCGGCUAAUCUGGCGGUAGCCACUGUGUGUGCGCU